GCAGUUCUCCUGCCUCAGCCUCCCAAGUAGCUGGGACUACAGAUAAUGCUGCAGUGAACAUGGGAGUGCAGAUAUCUCUUCAGGAUCCUGAUUUCAAUCCCGUUGGAUAUAUACCUAGAAGUGGGACUGCUGGAUCGUAUGAACUUUUCUUGAUUCCCCUGCAUGAUCUUUGGAAUCAGUAUGUCAAGUUCCAAAAUAAUCCUGUUGGCUGGAGGUCAGAAAUGGCAAAGCUGCCACCAUGAACUCUGUUGAGGUUCUGCUUCAGGGCUUUUUUUCACUGAGGCGGACACCUGGAAAGCCUCCACUACAGGCCCAAAGCCAAGCAAGGGAAUGGAAGCUGCCCGAGCCCUCCAGCUGCUAACUGAGUUAACACCUGGGAGUGGACCACAGCUACUGUGUGGGGAAACCCUGUCUGCACAGUGAAUCCCAGCGGAAUCAAGCAGAGCCAAGAGCUGAGUAACACAGAGCCCCAAGGACACUAUGUGAGACCCUGGAUCCAGCCUCACCUGACGGUGUUUCAGAGCAGAGUUCUCUAAGGCACAAGCUACAAGUGAGCAUGGCUGUAGCAGACCCAAGGGGACACCAGAACUGGUGAGAGGGGCUUGGUGCCUCAAAUUCUGACCACUUUGGGAACUGCAGGAGUGCUCGAGCGGUGGAUGCCAGCAGCAGCAGAGGGGCCCUUCUAGAAGCCUAAGAAGGGUGCUGGGGCAGAAGGGGACACACAGCAGGGGAUCGGUUAUCUCUUGCUGCGUAACACCCACCCCAAAACUUAGCUGCUUAAAGCAAUAACCAUUGCAUUUGCUCAGGAUUCUGUAGCUCAGCAAUUCGUGCUGAGCUCACCUGGGCAGUUCUCCUGCUGGUCAUGCAAGAGUCACUCACAUGUCUAUAGUCAUACGGAACUUGACUGGGGUAGGUGGUCCAAGGUGGCCUCACUCAUAUGUCUGGGGCAUCAGUUGGGAUUCCUGGAACAGGGUGAGUGGCUGAGUCAUUCUGUGCACAUAGCCUCUCAUCCUUAAGGAGUCUACUCUGACUUUAUUCACAAGGUGACAGUGUUCCUAGAGAACCAGGCUCUAUGUAUACCUGCGUUCCAAGCUCCUGCCUGCAUCAUGUUUGCUGAUGUCCCACUGGCCAGUGCAAGUCACAUGGACAAGCCCCAAGUCAGGGUGAGAGAGGGCUAUGCAUAGGCGUGGAUGCCAGGAGGUGUGGUCCACUGGACUUAUUACUGUCAUGACGUUGCCAUGUAAUAUACAAUGCAUGCUUGGCCCUCAGCCUAUUUCUAAGCUCAGGUGAGACCUUCCCUGGGACAGCCCAAGCAUAAGCAAGUAAGCCUGGCAGGUGGGACUAGAGCUGGUGCCACCUGCGUUAAUGAGGGGAUUAGUGCUUUGAUAGGAUUAAACCGGGGGCUAGCAUAGCACAGAGUAGGAGGCCUAACCAAUGCCAGGGCUUUCAGAGGCCCAGUGGCUAGAGGUGAUAAACACAGACUCUCAAGCCAGGCAGACCUGGGUUCGAGUCUUCACUCUGCCAUUUCCUUGUUCUGUGGUCCUGGGCUGGUAACUCCCCUACUCUGACUGUCAGUUUCUUCAUCCGUGAAAUGGACCCCACAGGGUUGCUGUGAGAAUUAAAGGAGCUCAGAAGAGCUUAGUCCGACAUAAAGCAGCAGUCUAUAAAUGGCAGUGCUAGUGAUCAGUGUGACAAGAGUGGUGGUAAACAUCAUGGUCCAUGAGAAUGGUGAUAGGAGGCAGGGUCAUGGCUGUUCUGGAUGAGCAGAGAGCUCUGGAUAGGUGACUAGGAGUGACCAGUUAGAGGAGGGCAGGGGAGGGCAUCCCAGGCAGAGAGAACGGUGCACCAGGGAUGUGCCACGAAGAGGAAGAACCGUGUGAGGACAAUGAGAAAAUAGCCAUCUGCAAGCCUGGGAGGGGGUCCUUAGGAGAAACCAACUCUGCCCGCACCUGAUCUUGUAUUUCUUGCCUCUACAACUCUGAGGAAUAAAUUUCUGUUGCUUAAGUCA